UCUAUACUUUAAGUGGGUGUUGACAAGUGGUCAUGGACAUCCUUAGUGUUUAUGCUCCUUUGAUCAUCGAUUGAUGGAUUGAUCAAUCCUUCUGUUGUUUUAGAGCUGUUUCUGGAUUUACAAUCUAGUGCAUUGACUGUAGCUUCUUUUCUCACAGAGCGAUCUCUUUGAUUGAGGAGGUUGUCUCAGGAAUGGGUACAUAUGAUGAGUCUCCUUGAUCAUCUUCAGGACUGGGUGAAGAACUGACAUUUCGAUGAACUCCUGCUGCGUAGGCACUUGGGUUUUUAUUGAAUCUUUCCUCAGUUGAUUCCCUUGGAGUGGAAAUAUCAUAAUUGUCUUUGUUCCUAUUCCUUUAUAGGUUGGAGUUUUGCCAGAUUUUAUAAGUGAUGAUCUAUUGCCUUUUCUGUGCAGCUGAGUUGAUGCAUUUUGGAGUUCGGCCUUUUUCUGAAAUUGGAUAAGCUCCCCCUUGGAUUUUGGUUCUUUUGAUGUGCUCAUUCUAUAUGUGUCUAUGGAUCAAUCCCUAAUCAAUUGAUAUUUUGUCCAUGCUUUUAUGAUAGGGUGUGCGAGAACUACCUUGACUUAUGCUUAGAGGGUUUGAAGUUCGACAUAAGAUCUCUUGAUUGUCAUUGGAUGGCCUCUCUUUUGGACAUAGCUGCAAAAGGAGAGUACUAAGUCUCCUUACUUGCAAUAAGAUAUCUGUAUGGUUUGCUUAGCCAACAUCUUCCACUGCUCUAAUAAUUUCUUCUGAUACAGUGAUUGUUGGGGACAUUUUAGAAAUGAGGCUUUUUGUAGGUGAGAUGGGUUGCUUUUAGUUUGUAGUGCCACCUUGAGGGCCUAAUUUCUGAAUAUUUUAGGUUCUCGUUGAUCCAUGGGACUAUGAAGACUUUUCUGCUGGACCUAAGUUAUACUUCGUUGCAAACUGUUGGCAUCUCAUUCUGAAAAGAUGAACUGGUACUGUGCUGUUUUAAUAACAUACACCCUUCGGUUCCUUUCAUAACCAGUAGGUCUCUUUCUUCUUGUGUUUCAUGAUUGUCAUAAGUGAUCAGGCCUCACGUGGGGAUGUUGACAGGACAGCCAUGUAGACAUAACUCCCUUGGCAUUACUUGCACUCUGACUGGUUCUCUCCUUUCUGCUGAUUCUCUUGUUUCUUAUCCAUCAAAGCUGUGUGUUGUGGCUGUACGCUGUCAGCAGACAUGGCCAGUCUGGCUGGGAGGAGCAGACAACUUGGUGCUUGGUUGGCAUGUUUGUUGAAUUUUUGUAGUUAAUUUUAAUGGGUGAAACUGAAGGGGCAGAUGACAAUGCUGCAUAAGCUAUGUUUUGAGGUUUUGACAUACCUGGUGAGCAUGGAGCUCUUCUGAUAUCUUAUGAUACCCUAAUGUAUGACGGUUGAACUUCUACUUCUUAUAUAUGAUCUUAAAUUUAAUCAAGAACAGAUGCUGGUGAGGAUGGAGCUCUUCUGAUAUCUUAUGAUACCCUAAUGUACAACGGGUGAACUUCUACUCCUUAUAUAUGAUCUAAAUUUAAUCAACAACAGAUGUUGAAGCUUUUUAGGGGUUAUGAAUUUAUAGAUGUCCAAUUGCAGCGUGAUCCUUUGCCAUUCAUGAUCUUUCGACCAGAUACUCUAAUUGAUGGUUCUACUGUAUCUCUUUCUCAUGGGCUUUACAAGGGUUGUUAAAGUCAUCUUCCUUGUAAUUGGAGAUACUAAAUGGUCACCUUAUGAUCGGUUUCAUUUGCUUUGGUAUUUCGUUUGGAGGCAUGAAUUUUGAAGCAUCUGGCUUGGUCUAUUUCCAGAACAAUUUUGGCGAAGGCUCUGAUUUUUUACAGAAAGGUUUAUCAAAGUUAUUAAGGUUCAAGCCUA